rnacentral:sRNA from 1 species
AAUAAAGGAUCUUCGACUAAAUGCCUCACGUUCUGUGUCGAACGUCAAAGUCAGCACCCUUAGC